rnacentral:miRNA from 1 species
UCUGUAGUGUAAGUAUGUCCCGUGCAUUAUUUGGGACAUAUAUAAACUAAAA